rnacentral:rRNA from 1 species
GCUGGCGGCGUGGAUCAGACAUGCAAGUCGAACGGGGUUAAUCUGGUAGCAAUAUUGGGUUAAUCUAGUGGCGAACGGGUGCGUAACACGUGACCAACCUGCCUAGAAGUGGGGGAUAGCUCGCCGAAAGGCGAAUUAAUACCGCAUGUGAUCGUAAGAUUAAAGCAGCAAUGCGCUUUUAGAGGGGGUCGCGGCCUAUCAGCUAGUUGGUGAGGUAAAGGCUUACCAAGGCAGCGACGGGUAGCUGGUCUGAGAGGACGACCAGCCACACUGGAACUGAGACACGGUCCAGACACCUACGGGUGGCAGCAGUCGAGAAUUUUUCUCAAUGGGGGAAACCCUGAAGGAGCGACGCCGCGUGGAGGAUGAAGGCUUUCGGGUUGUAAACUCCUGUCAUCUGGGAACAAAACUCGUAAGAGCUUGAUAGUACCAGAAGAGGAAGAGACGGCUAACUCUGUGCCAGCAGCCGCGGUAAUACAGAGGUCUCAAGCGUUGUUCGGAUUCA